rnacentral:rRNA from 1 species
CCUACGGGUGGCAGCAGUGGGAAAUAUUGGACAAUGGGGGGAACCCUGAUCCAGCCAUGCCGCGUGUGUGAAGAAGGCCCUCGGGUUGUAAAGCACUUUCAGUGAGGAAGAACGCCUGGUGGUUAAUACCCAUCAGGAAAGACAUCACUCACAGAAGAAGCACCGGCUAACUCCGUGCCAGCAGCCGCGGUAAUACGGAGGGUGCGAGCGUUAAUCGGAAUUACUGGGCGUAAAGCGCGCGUAGGUGGCUUGAUAAGCCGGUUGUGAAAGCCCCGGGCUCAACCUGGGAACGGCAUCCGGAACUGUCAAGCUAGAGUGCAGGAGAGGAAGGUAGAAUUCCCGGUGUAGCGGUGAAAUGCGUAGAGAUCGGGAGGAAUACCAGUGGCGAAGGCGGCCUUCUGGACUGACACUGACACUGAGGUGCGAAAGCGUGGGUAGCAAACAGGAUUAGAUACCCUGGUAGUC